UACGUAGGGUGCGAGCGUUGCCCGGAUUUAUUGGGCGUAAAGGGCGCGUAGGCGGCCACGCACGUCCGUUGUGAAAUCGCCCGGCUCAACUGGGCGGGGUCGGCGGAUACGGCGUGGCUGGAGCAAGCUAGGGGGCAAUGGAAUUCCCGGUGUAGCAGUGAAAUGCGUAGAGAUCGGGAGGAACACCAGUGGCGAAGGCGGCUACCUGGACCAGCAUUGACACUCAAGCACGAAAGCGUGGGGAGCAAACAGG
rnacentral:rRNA from 1 species